rnacentral:lncRNA from 1 species
UGGAAAAUAGGCUGACAUGGAAUUGCUUUUUGGAAAGAACAAAAAAAAAACAACAACCGUGCUUUGUUUUUCAAAAGGGUAAAGGCCCCAUAAAUGAGAAGUCAUUUCUCUCUCUCCACGAACAAAAAUGAUACCCAAAAUCGGAGCCCCCAAAUUUGAAAAACCUAAGCAAAACCUUCCAAUCUUUGGCCACAAUUCCAAGUAGGGUAAGGUCGCGCCGCAUGCCUCUUGACCCACCAUAUCCGAUCGUCGUCAAAUCGCUCACCAUAUCCGAUCAUAAUUACCGUCCAAGGCACCAUCACAUCGCACCUUUGUGGAAGGUUUCGUCGUCGCACGUUCUACAAUUUUUCAUCGUCGGCAACCCAUCAAACCUCGCAAGCACGUUGAAUGUUCUCUAUUUCAUCAUUUUUCAUUUUUUCAGCUUUGCUCGGGUACAAUGUUUUCUAUUUCAUUAGUUUUUGCUUAUGGGAAGCUGUUGAUAGAACUAGAGGAAUAUAUAUGUGAAAUGAAAUGAAUUGGUAGGAUUAGUUUGUGAAUUGACUACUUUUACAAAAAUUUAAAUGAAGUUCAAAACAUGGGUAAUGGCAGGCUAAUAGGCUGGGUUUAUUAGGCAUUGUAAAUGUACAAUUUUAAUGAUGAUGUGAAAUUCCAUUCUUCGUGUGAUUAUGUAGAAAGUGAUUUGGAAGGAUUGAUGGCAGAUUUUCCUUCUACAUUUAGCCCUCGCUUGGGCCCCAUUUUG